UAGAAGGUACUCCUUCUUUCGCAGGCAGCUUGGGACUGGAAGAAGGACCUUCGAAAUUUGGCCUCAGAGAACACCAAUAGGCAGCUUGGGACUGGAAGAAGGACACUCGAAAUUUGGCCUCAGAGAACACCAAUAGGCAGCUUGGGACUGGAAGAAGGACCUUCGAAAUUUGGCCUCAGAGAACACAAAUAGAAAUGGAAAUAUAGACGCAGAAAAUAUUUUGCGUGGAGAUGAAGGGAAAGAAUGACAUUGGGUGCACAUAGAGUCACAGAGUGCACAGAGUGAAACUACAGGUUUGUGGAAUAAAGGACGAGAUGGGGAGGGAGUUACAAUGCUUUCUCCUUUACCUUUUUCCUUCGAUUCUAUUGGUUUUUCAGUUGUUUAGAAGCGUGUGUGUGUGCCUAUGUCGGAGUCUGUGAAUAAA